GUGCUCACUUCGGCAGCACAUAUACUAAAAUUGGAACAAUACAGAGAAGAUGGCUCCUGCGCAAGGAUGAUACACAAAUUCGUGAAGCGUUCCAUAUUUAA
ensembl:snRNA U6 U6 spliceosomal RNA